UGUGUCUGAGAUAAAAAAGACAGACAGUGCUAUGAUACAGAGAAGAUUAGCACAGCCCCUGCACAAGAUGACAGGCAAAAGAGACAGAGAAAUACAUCAUUU
rnacentral:snRNA from 1 species